CUCAUCUCUUCUCUUCUUCUCUGACCUGCAGGUACUUUUAGAAGACGUGCUGAGCCAAACCCUAACCAGUCACACCGGUCUUCUGAGGCGUAACAACCAAUGGCGUCCUGGUGUUGGUCGUCUCUGGUCCUCUGUCUCCUCCUCACGUCGUCCUCGGCUCAUGACGACUUCUUCACCUCCAUCAGUAAGAUGACUGACCUGCUGUUCACAGAGAAGGACCUGCUCACGUCUCUGAAGAACUACAUCCAAGCUGAGGAGAAGAAACUGGAGCAAAUCA